rnacentral:rRNA from 1 species
UACGGAAGGUCCGGGCGUUAUCCGGAUUUAUUGGGUUUAAAGGGAGCGUAGGCCGGAUGGUAAGCGUGUUGUGAAAUGUACGGGCUCAACCUGUGAAUUGCAGCGCGGACUGCCGUCCUUGAGUAGGCGGAAAGCUGGCGGAAUUCGUUGUGUAGCGGUGAAAUGCUUAGAUAUGACGAAGAACUCCGAUUGCGAAGGCAGCUGGCUGCAGCCUCACUGACGCUGAAGCUCGAAAGCGUGGGUAU